rnacentral:rRNA from 1 species
UGGGGAAUAUUGGACAAUGGGCGAAAGCCUGAUCCAGCAAUGCCGCGUGUGUGAAGAAGGUCUUCGGAUUGUAAAGCACUUUCGGCGGGGACGAUGAUGACGGUACCCGCAGAAGAAGCCCCGGCUAACUUCGUGCCAGCAGCCGCGGUAAUACGAAGGGGGCUAGCGUUGCUCGGAAUGACUGGGCGUAAAGGGCGCGUAGGCGGUUUUCCAAGUUAGAUGUGAAAUUCCUGGGCUCAACCUGGGGGCUGCAUUUGAUACUGGGAGGCUUGAGUAUGGAAGAGGGUCGUGGAAUUCCCAGUGUAGAGGUGAAAUUCGUAGAUAUUGGGAAGAACACCGGUGGCGAAGGCGGCGACCUGGUCCAUAACUGACGCUGAGGCGCGAAAGCGUGGGGAGCAAACA